rnacentral:misc_RNA from 1 species
GAUGAAGAACGCAGCGAAAUGCGAUAAGUAAUGUGAAUUGCAGAAUUCAGUGAAUCAUCGAAUCUUUGAACGCACAUUGCGCCCGCCAGUAUUCUGGCGGGCAUGCCUGUUCGAGCGUCAUUUCAACCAUCAAGCCCCAGGCUUGUGUUGGGGACCUGCGGCUGCCGCAGGCCCUGAAAACCAGUGGCGGGCUCGCUGUCACACCGGCGUAGUAGAUUUUAUCUCGCUCAGGGCGUGCUGCGGGUUCCGGCCGUUAAAAAGCCUUUUUUACCCAAGGUUGACCUCGGAUCAGGUAGGAAGACCCGCUGAACUUAAGCAUAUCAAUAAGCGGAGGA